rnacentral:rRNA from 1 species
GAUGAACGCUGGCGGCGUGCCUAAUACAUGCAAGUCGAGCGAACGGACGAGAAGCUUGCUUCUCUGAUGUUAGCGGCGGACGGGUGGGUAACACGUGGAUAACCUACCUAUAAGACUGGGAUAACUUCGGGAAACCGGAGCUAAUACCGGAUAAUAUUUUGAACCGCAUGGUUCAAAAGUGAAAGACGGUCUUGCUGUCACUUAUAGAUGGAUCCGCGCUGCAUUAGCUAGUUGGUAAGGUAACGGCUUACCAAGGCAACGAUGCAUAGCCGACCUGAGAGGGUGAUCGGCCACACUGGAACUGAGACACGGUCCAGACUCCUACGGGAGGCAGCAGUAGGGAAUCUUCCGCAAUGGGCGAAAGCCUGACGGAGCAACGCCGCGUGAGUGAUGAAGGUCUUCGGAUCGUAAAACUCUGUUAUUAGGGAAGAACAUAUGUGUAAGUAACUGUGCACAUCUUGACGGUACCUAACCAGAAAGCCACGGCUAACUACGUG